GGGGGCGGGCCCGGAGGGUCUCCAGCGCGCAGGCGCCUCCCUCCCGCCUUCCCCGCCCCGGCUCCGGGGCGCGAGGCCUGCGGCGGGGACGCGGACUGAGGCCCGUGCUGCAUCAAGGCACAGAGAGGCGCGUUCGUUUUCUCGAGGACACACGGCGGGUGUGAGCCCACGCGAGAACGCAGCCCGCGGUGCUGAUUCCGGUUGUCUGAGCGCCAGCGUUACAGGUCCAGUCGUCUGCCUUCAGGACAAGCACCAUCAUGCCCCUUCUGGUGCCCAGGUGGCCUGCGUGGCUCUUCUGGUGGCGGGCAGCCUGCACUCGGAGAGCCUUCGUGCAGCAGAGGAUGUGGGCAGGGGCCACCAGGAUCUCUGGGCUGGGCGGCCCCGCGGGGGCCCUGGGCACCAGCCCCCUGGUCCGAAGAGGCAGUUCCUCUGCUUCCUCCAGUGCUCCUGGGGUGAGGCUAACUCGGGACCGCUACCCCGUGCAGCGGCUGCCGUUCUCCGUGGUGUCUGAGGACGACCUGGCCGCCCUGGAGCGCAUCAUCCCUGGCAGGGUCAUCACAGACCCAGAGGAGCUGGAGGCUCCGAACGUAGACUGGCUGAGGACGGUCCGAGGCUCCAGCAAGGUGCUCCUCCGGCCCCGGACAUCCCAGGAGGUGGCUCAAAUCCUCAGGUACUGUCACGAGAGGAACCUGGCGGUGAACCCACAGGGCGGCAACACAGGCCUGGUGGGGGGCAGCACCCCCGUCUUUGACGAGAUCGUCCUGUCCACAGCCCUCAUGAGCCAGGUCCUCAGCUUCCACGACGUGUCAGGGGUUCUGGUUUGCCAGGCGGGGUGCGUCCUGGAGGAGCUGAGCCGGUACGUGGAGGAGCGGGGCUUCGUCAUGCCGCUGGACCUGGGGGCUAAGGGCAGCUGCCACAUUGGGGGCAACGUGGCGACCAACGCGGGUGGCCUGCGGUUUCUGCGAUACGGCUCACUGCGCGGGACUGUCUUGGGCCUGGAAGUGGUACUGGCCGACGGCACCCUCCUGAACUGCCUGACGUCACUGCGGAAGGACAACACGGGCUAUGACCUGAAGCAGCUCUUCAUCGGCUCAGAGGGCACCCUGGGGGUCAUCACCGCUGUGUCCAUCCUGUGUCCGCCCAAGCCCAGUGCCGUGAACGUGGCCUUCCUUGGUUGUCCUGGCUUCGCGGAGGUGCUGCAGACCUUCAGCACCGGCAGGAGGCUGCUGGGCGAGAUCCUGUCGGCGUUCGAGUUCAUGGACGCCGAGUGCCUGCAGCUGGUCGGGCGCCACCUGCAUCUCACCAACCCCGUGCAAGAAAGUCCAUUCUAUGUUCUCAUCGAGACCUCGGGCUCUGGAGCAGAUCACGAUGCUGAGAAGCUGAGCAGCUUCCUGGAGCAGGUCCAGGGCUCCGGGCUGGUGACCGACGGGACCCUGGCCACCGAUCAGAGGAGAAUCCAGGCGCUAUGGGCCCUGCGGGAAAGGAUCUCAGAGGCCCUGAGCCACGACGGCUACGUGUACAAAUACGACCUGUCCCUGCCCCUGGACCGGCUCUACGACCUUGUGGACGACCUGCGUGCCCGCCUCGGCCCGAGUGCAAAGCACGUGGUGGGCUACGGCCACCUGGGGGACGGCAACCUGCACCUCAAUGUGACGGCGGAGGCCUUCUGCGAGUCGCUGCUGGGGGCCCUGGAGCCCUACGUGUAUGAGUGGACGGCCCGGCAGCGGGGCAGCGUCAGUGCCGAGCACGGCCUGGGCUUCAAGAAGAGGGAUGUCCUCGGCUACAGCAAGCCCCCCGAGGCCCUGCGGCUCAUGCAGCAGCUCAAGGCCCUCCUGGACCCCAAAGGCAUCCUGAACCCCUACAAGAUGCUGCCCACCCGCGCCUGAUGGCUGCUGGGGUCAGCGGGAGGCUGGGGCAGCGGGGCCCUGGUACGGUCUUGGUUUUGCUGGGGGGGCCUGCUGGGCUGGCAUGGGCUCAGAGGGCCUCCGUCCGGUGGAGCCAGCAGCUGGCCAGGUGACCAGCUGGGCGACUCAGGGCAGGAUUCCUCUGCUGGCUCUGUCGAGUGGGUCCUCUCUGCCCAUGCUCUGGGUGGGCUCUGGGCAGGCUGGCGGGUGAGCUGUGCUGCCCGAGCAGAGUCGAGCAGGUGGCCCGGCCUUGCUGUGGUCUUGGGAUCCUGUGGGAGGGGACACGGGGGUCCUGCCCCUGGGCUUCCACACGGCGCCAGCCUCUGAGGGCCUUGUGCAGAGGUGAUGAAGGCUGCGUGGGUGGUGCAGUGCCGUGAGGCUGGUCUACCCGGGCUCUGACGGACCGAGCCUGGGCCACCUGGCACUUUACAGGCAACUGCUGGUCACCUUUGGAUGCCCUGCCCCGGGGGUGUCCCUCCCCUCGCUUUUUAGAAGGCCCCUUGGUGGGCAGGACUGUUGUCAGAGUCAGGUGUCAUUCCCUGCACUUGGUGCUCUGUGGGACGUGUCCCUGGAGACGAGUUCUUGGGCUCUGCCACCAGGUGCUGGGUGGCGGCGCCGCCGGGUGCGAGCUUGGCAUCAGUUACCUGAGCGGUCGUCCUGCGGGCCUUGGCCCCUGGGCCAGUUGCUGGGGCUGUGGAUGGACGCACGCGGGCGGGGAGCGUGGACACGUCCUCUUUUUCUGGCUGCCACGAACUUCCAGUAAAACGGGAAUUAGUCACGACUGCCUUUCCUUCUGUCACUUGAAAAACAAUCUCGUGAGAGCCCCCGGAAGUGCCUGUGUGCUGCAUUCCUCAAGCGUGCAGACAUCGGGGCCUGACCAUGUGGAUGGGGGGGCGCCCCGUCCCCACACCAUGUCCCCUGUGCCCCACUUGUCAGAGGUGGUCAGGUCUUGUUUGCGAUGCACAGGGAGGCAUUUCUGCUGCAUAGUUGCGUCCCCAAAAAGAUUUUGGGACCCAGCGAGCUUGUCUUGGGUAAUUACAAUAAUGCCUGAAUUAUUAAAAACUUGAUAUUUUG
rnacentral:lncRNA from 1 species